rnacentral:rRNA from 1 species
CCUACGGGGGGCUGCAGUGGGGAAUAUUGGACAAUGGGGGCAACCCUGAUCCAGCCAUGCCGCGUGUGUGAAGAAGGCCCUCGGGUUGUAAAGCACUUUCAGUGAGGAAGAACGCCUGGUGGUUAAUACCCAUCAGGAAAGGCAUCACUCACAGAAGAAGCACCGGCUAACUCCGUGCCAGCAGCCGCGGUAAUACGGAGGGUGCGAGCGUUAAUCGGAAUUACUGGGCGUAAAGCGCGCGUAGGUGGCUUGAUAAGCCGGUUGUGAAAGCCCCGGGCUCAACCUGGGAACGGCAUCCGGAACUGUCAAGCUAGAGUGCAGGAGAGGAAGGUAGAAUUCCCGGUGUAGCGGUGAAAUGCGUAGAGAUCGGGAGGAAUACCAGUGGCGAAGGCGGCCUUCUGGACUGACACUGACACUGAGGUGCGAAAGCGUGGGUAGCAAACAGGAUUAGAUACCCCGGUAGUC